ACCGCUCUUGGGAUUCGACUAAGCCAUGCGAGUCGAGAGGGUUUAGUCCCUCGGCCGACUGCUCAGUAACACGUGGAUAAUCUACCCUUAGGUGGAGGAUAACCUCGGGAAACUGAGGAUAAUACUCCAUAGAUCUAAGAGGCUGGAAUGCACUUAGGUCGAAAGCUCUGGCGCCUAAGGAUGAGUCUGCGGACUAUCAGGUUGUAGCUAGGGUAACGUCCUAGCUAGCCUACAACGGAUACGGGUUGUGAGAGCAAUAACCCGGAGACGGACUCUGAGACACGAGUCCGGGCCCUACGGGGCGCAGCAGGCGCGAAACCUUCACAAUGUGCGAAAGCGCGAUGAGGGGAUCCCAAGUGCCAGCUCAAAAUGGGUUGGCUGUUUCUCUGUCCAAAACGCAGAGAGUAGUAAGGGCUGGGUAAGACGGGUGCCAGCCGCCGCGGUAAUACCUGCAGCCCGAGUGGUGACCGCUAUUAUUGAGCCUAAAACGUCCGUAGCCGGCUUAGUAAAUGCCUGGGUAAAUCGUAUAGCCUAACUAUACGAAUUCCGGGCAGACUGCUAAGCUUGAGACCGGGAGAGGUUAGAGGUACUCCUGGGGUAGGGGUGAAAUCCUGUAAUCCUGGGGGGACCACCAGUGGCGAAAGCGUCUAACCAUAACGGGUCUGACGGUGAGGGACGAAGCCCUGGGGAGCAAACCGGAUUAGAUACCCGGGUAGUCCAGGGUGUAAACGCUGCUUGCUUNAUGUUAGUUGGGCUACGAGCCCAGCUAGUGUCGGAGAGAAGUUGUUAAGCAAGUUGCUUGGGAAUUACGGCCGCAAGGCUGAAACUUAAAGGAAUUGGCGGGGGAGCACAGCAACGGGUGGAGCGUGCGGUUUAAUUGGAUUCAACGCCGGAAAACUCACCGGAGGCGACGGUUAUAUGAGGGCCAGGCUGAUGACCUUGCCUAAUUUUCCGAGAGGUGGUGCAUGGCCGCCGUCAGUUCGUACCGUAAGGCGUUCUGUUAAGUCAGACAACGAACGAGACCCUUGCCCCUAGUUGCCCCCCAUUCCUCCGGGAAUGGCGCACACUAGGGGAACCGCUGGCGCUAAGUCAGAGGAAGGUGAGGGCAACGGUAGGUCAGUAUGCCCCGAAUCCUCCGGGCUACACGCGCGCUACAAAGGCCAGGACAAUGAGCUCCGACACCGAAAGGUGAAGGUAAUCCCGAAACCUGGUCGUAGUUCGGAUUGAGGGCUGAAACUCGCUCUCAUGAAGUUGGAAUCCGUAGUAAUCGCGGGUCAACAACCCGCGGUGAAUA
rnacentral:rRNA from 1 species